GAGAUUUUUACCACACCUGCGGAAAGAAGAGCACUUAGGGAUUUGGAGGAAUUAUAUGAUGAGCAGGAUACCAAUGACGACAUGCAGACUUUGAGUACUAUGCUGCAAGAUGCAAAAUCAGCAGGGAUUAUUUCCCCUGAAUUGGCGAAAGCACUGAUGGUGGAUCAGCCAAGAAUGCCGACAUUAUAUUUGCUCCCAAAGGUUCAUAAGCAGAUGACUAAACCUCCCGGACGCCCGAUCAUAUCAGCAUAUGAUUAAUGCAAUCCCAGUUGGACAAUACUUACGAGCAAGGCGCAUUUGUUCCUCGGAAACAUCCUUUCAAAAACAGGCAGGAG